UGAAAAUAUAAAAAUUAAAAUCUGCGAUCCACCUAUAAAAGAACAUGUGAUAUUUAUCUUUCUGAGUCUGGCUUAUUUCACUUAACAUAAUAAUUUCCAGUUCCACUCAUUUUUUUUCCUGAAAAUGUUUGUGGCUGAACAAAAUUCCAUGGUGUAUAGGUAUCACAUUUUCAUUACCCAUGUAUCUCUGGAUGGACACAAGGAUGCAUUAAGAAGAUCAUACAUCACGACUGACAUGGUUUCACCCCAGGGAUGCAAGGGUGGAUCAACAUAUACAAACAGCAUAGAAACACACACACACACACACACACACACACACACACACACACACACACACACACAUAUAUAUAUGAGCAUCGAAGUAGAUUUAAGGACAGAAACCACAGUCAUCUCAAUGGACACAGAAAAGGCAUUUGACAAAGUUCUGCAUCCCUUCAUGGUAAGUUCCCUGAAGAAAUUAGGAACAGAAGAGUUGUAAUUCAAUGUAAUAAAGGCUACAUAAGACAAACCUAUAGCCAACAUUCUACCAACUGAGGGGAAACUGAACGAGUUCGUCUAAAACACGGAGCAAGAGAGUACCCACUUUCUCCAGUCUCCUUCCGUGUAGUACCUGAACUUUUUGCUGCAGCAAUGGGAAAGGAAUCGGUAGGAAAACAAGAAGCCAAGUGACCUCAGCUGUGGCUGACAUGAUCCUUAAAUCAUGCUUAUAAAGGACCUGAAAAGUUCAACCAGAAACACUGAAAUCUGAUAAAUAUUUGCAAAGGAGCAGAAUACAGGCCCACUAAUUUUUCUAACAAUAACUAGCAUGCUGAGAAAUUCCAAAAGAAAACUUUCAUUCACAGUAGUUUCAAAAAUAAAAUAAAAUGACCAGAAAUCAACCUGAGGAGGUGAAAGAGCAAUUCAAACUUUAAGACAAUAAAGAAAAAAAAAUGGAGGGAGGUAGUGGUAGUGUUCUAAGACAGAAUUAAUGUGGUAAAAAUAGAUAUAUUGCUAAAUAUACAUAGAGAUUCAAGGCAAUGCUCGUGAAAAUUCCAAUGACAUUCUUCAUAGAACUAGGGAAAUAUUCUAAAAUACGCAUGAAAAUGCAAAAUAGCAAAAGCAAUCCUAAACAAAAAUAAACCAUGUUGGAAAUAUCACAAUGUAUACCACAGAGCCAUAGGGACAAAGAUGGCAUGAUUUUGACACACACACACACACACACACAUACACACACACACACACACACACACACACACACAAAGACAGGUAGCAAACAGACUAGAAUUGAGGUAUAAACCCACACAGCUACAACCACCACAUUUUUGAUUUAUAUAUCAAAGAUAUACAUUAGUUAAAAAAAAAUUCAACAAAUAGUUCUGAGAAAACUGAUGCCCACAAACAAAAUAACAUCCUGCACACACACAAAAAAAUGUAUUCAGAAUUAACCAAGGCUUUAAUAUAAGGCCCAAAAUGUUGAUAUUGCAGUAGGGAAACACGUUAAGGUACAGGCCCAGACAGAAAGAGACCCCGAUAAAACAGGAAGGAGCACCAGGAAUUGAUAGCUGGGACCGUGCGUGGUUAAAAAGUUUCUAUACAGCAAAUGAAACAGUCACUGGAGUGAAGAGGCAGCUGGCAAAUGGGAGAAAGUCUUUGACAACUAAACUUUAGACAAACAUUUCAUAUAGAGACUAUAGAAAGAACAAAAGAGCCCGGCCACAACCAAACCUUCCAGUCACUGAAUGGGUUAAUAAACUGAACAGAUAGCCCUCAGGGGAAGAAUCAUAGUGAGGGUUGAGGAGAUGGCUCCAAGGGUAAAGGUAGUUGGUGCUAAGCCUAAUGGCCUGAGUUCAAUCCCUGGGAUCCACAUGGUAGUAAGAGAGAACUGACUUUUACACAAUGUCCUUUGACCUCCACACAUGAGCUCCAUAGUUCAUGCGUACGCGCACACUCACCCAUACUCACACACACACACAUAUACACACACCUCUCAUAAAGAUAGACAGAGAGGGCUUCUGAGAGUUCAUGGGAUAUUAUAUUUUAAAAAAUAUAAAUGACCAAUACAUAGUUUAAAAGUAUUCAACAUCCUAGUCAUAAGGAAAUACGCAUUUAAACUAUUUUAAGAUCCUGUCUCACCCUAGCCCUUAUGGCUCAGCUCCAGGAAGCAAAUGACAACGCAUGCUGUCUAGGCACUGCUGCUGGGAGUGCAAACUGGUGGGGCCACUAUGGAGAUCAGCACGGAGGUUUCUCAAAUGGCUAAAAAUAGUACAGCCUUAGGACUAAGCUAUACCACCCUAGGGGUUGUACCCGGGAAACUUAGCACAUAGACGCUUGCACAUCUGUGUUUACCGUGUCAUUAUGCAGAAGGGUUAGCACAUUGCAACAGGCAGAAGCACUUUUUGAGCAAUCUGCCUAGGGCCAAGCUACAGUGAGGAACGGUGGGAAGGAAAGCUCAGAGACGAGUUCUCAAGGGCAGAGCUGCCUUCCCUUUGCCAGGAAUUCAAGUCUCGAUGACUCUCCUGUGUCUACGUCUGGGAUCUCUAAAAUUGUACCCAAGGGAAUUCAUCUCAGGAUGGUUCUCAGCUUGCAGUUUGCUGACCAGCCAGGACUGCUACAGAAACUCAUCUGGUCAUCUGGUCCCUGUCCUCAGCGAGCGUGGCUCCACGCACUUAAACAUUGUGCUGGACCAGUCUUGCCCUGAACUCGCUCUACCUGUGUCAGCUGUGUGAAACUCUCUGGAGAAGGAGAACCUGACAAGGCACAGAGGAGACUGUGGGUUCUCAGAUUUCAUCACCACCACCCGAAACCUGGUUGCUGCUUUGAUUCCUUUUCUGCCCCCUCUUUCAGUGGAACCAGCACCCACCAGCUUUUAAAAGGCUUCAAGAUGAGAACAACAUGUGGUCAAGCCUGGGGCCUAGAGGACUAAAUACUAAUUUGAAGGUACAAAGCUUGGUUCAGCUUAUUCUUGAGCCACACUGGCCAGAUUUGAACACAGUGACUCCCCCAAGGAUCUACUGGAAUCCCCUUCUACUGCUGAAGUUUAUUUCACAACGCUAUAGAAUAUCUAAUGACCUACACUCAACACGCUGAGAUGCAGGGCAAGCUUUAGAAAUCUUUGGGUAGUAUUAAAGCAAGUCUCCUAUUCCUCAUGCCUUGUUACUUCUGUUGAGAGAUGAUCAGCCUUCCGUCAUCACAGCAAUUACAAAAAUUAUUUCACAGAGCAGCCAGCCACAGAGAAAUUACAGAAUUGUUACAGAAAAACCUAGAGGGGAAACCGGGUUUGAGUUCAGAGGACACAUUGGCGAUAGGACAUCCCAGAGGGCAAACGUGACUGAUGCUUCCCAGGGCGCCUUAGUAAAUAGGAUGGCCUCCAGGAAUGGUAGGAGUCACACAUCUAUAACCCCAAGAGUCAGGAGGUUGUGGGAAGAGGAUGGAGAGUACAAGGUCAACCUGGGCUACACAGCACCACUCUCCCCAUCUCAGAAAACAAAAUAAGACACACCAAAGGAAAAAAAUAGACGGUAAUGAAAACAUUUUACUCAGCAGAAUUGAUGAGGGGUUGGAGAGGCUCCUCACAGUGCUGACUGCAAUGUGCCACCAGGAAACACAAUCCAGCACUUUCCCAAAGCUUAAGCAGGACUGUUACGUGACCAGAAAUCCCACUUGUACGACUAUGUCCAAGAGAAUGAAACCCAGGGCCACACAAAAGCUUAUACCUAGAUGAUCGCAGAAGCGUUGUUUAUAAGAGUGUGAAAACAACCCAAAUGUCCAUCAGUUGGUGAAAGAUAAAUAGAACGUGACAGAGCCAGGAUCAAGUAUUGAUGCAUGCUCCAAGUAGCUCUGAAAAGUAUUGUGUGAACUAAAGGAACAGAUCACAUAUGGUAUUAUAUUCCAUCCAGAGUAACAUCCAGAACAGAUAAGUUUGGAAAGGAAGAAAGUAGACUAUUGAUUGAGAUGAAGUGGGCAAGGCACUUCUUUUUGUUGUGAUAAAAAUACUCUAGAAUAGAUUAUAUAACAGUUACAUGACCCUAUAUAUAAGCUAGAAGACCAGCGAAGGAGUAAAGUACAUGUGUAAACUACAAUUUAGUGAAAUUACUAUUUAAAAACAAAGGCACAUCUAUAAUCCCAGUAUGUCACAGCUGAGGCAGGAGGAUCAGGAGUUCUAGGCCAUGCUCUGCUACCUAGGAAAUGUGAGACAAGCAUGGGCUACCUGAGUUUCCAUCUCAAAGACAAAACCAAACUGAAAGUUGCUGGAGGACGGCUUAGCAGUUAAGAGCUUGUUACUCUGACAGAGGACUCAGGCUUCAUGGCCAGCACUCACACAGAGGUUCACAAUGACCCACACCACCCACAGCUCAGCUCUAGGGGAUCUGAUGCCUUCUUUUGGCUUUUUGCAGGCAUCAAACCACACAUGGUACAAAUGUAGGCAAAGCGCACAUACACAGAAAAAUUGAUAAAUCUUUAACAACCAGACAAACCCAUCCACAACACCCCAAAUCUAGAACAAAACAACCCUUUAAAAGAAAUUCUUAUUUUCACCAGGUGGUGGUGACACACACCUUUCAUCCCAGCCCUCAGGAGGCAGAGGCAGGCAGAUCUCUGUGAGGUUGAGGCCAGCCUGGUCUACAGAUCAAGUUCCAGGACAGCCAGGGCUACACAGAGAAAUCCGGUCUCAAAAACUCCUCCAUCCCACAAAAAGGGUCUUACUUCAUUCUGCCUCCUAGAGGUGUCCUCUGCUAAACCUAUCUCACACCAAGGGAGCAUCAAGAGGAGCUGUUCAUUCUGCAGUGGCCUGGCCUGGUAGCUUCACAAAGAUCAGUGGGGCAAUUGGUUAUCUCUAAAUAACGAAGUAGACUCAUCUGUCAGAAACAUAG